rnacentral:hammerhead_ribozyme from 1 species
AUGCAGAUGAUGAGUCCCGAAUAGGACUAAACAUACGUCCUGGAU